ACAGUACGCAGGCGCGGCGCGGCGCGGCGCGCCGCAGCGACGCAGGGCUGUUGCCGGCGCGGGGGCGGGCGCUCACAUGACUUACCGGCGGUGGCUCCGCGGCGUGCGCCCUGCCAGGAGGGGCCUGUGCUCGAGGAGCAGGCCUGGCGAGUAGCCCAGCCACUCCACGUUGAGCCGGGACUUGCCGCGCAACAUGGUCCUCCUGGGCGGGCGGCGGCUACGCCGCCCCCUGAACUCGCGUGAACACUGGUCCUCGUCUGCGUCUCGGUCGCUGAGCUGGGGGCCGCAAGGAGACCCGAGCAUAUGAGCCGCGAAGAGGGACUACCAGCCAGAGGGCUGUGGUGCUAGGCAACUGAGCGUAUUCCGCCGACGACAACACAAAAAAGCAGUGCGCAUUAUUUCGCCACUACUUGAGCAAAUAAAUGCCUCAUUAAUUACUGCCCGCAGUGGUAGGAAGUCAAGCCCUUGGCAGCUGGGAGGAGUUAAAACACUCACCCGAGUCCGUAAAACUAGAGAAUGUCAGAGUUCAAAGAGCUCUUGCUGAGAAUGACUGUUCCAGACUCGAUGCCAGUGACCCCCAACUUCCACUUAAAAGUUAAAAACAUAUUUUGCAGCUGCUCAGAAAGCCGCCAAUGAGACAACAGGGACUCAAAUAGUAAGAACAGAUGGGCCUCCCGGGCCUGCGCAACCCGAGAGAGGUAAAAACGAAAGGGUGGGUAAGUCUGGAGUCAGGCUUGACAAAAUUAAGUUGCCACUGGCUGCUAAUAAGAGGACAGCCCUUAACAUGGUCAGCGCCUGGAAAGGGCCGCUGACCACACAGCUAUUUUCUGCACCACAUGGAUACAAAGACCACAUCUGAAAUCAUGACUAAACCAGCAGCUUAGAGUGGUGGAAAGGGCAAUGGACUGGGCAGCAGGAAGUCCAGGUUUUAGUUCAAACUGAAUAAUCCCCCUCUAGGGCUGACUGUGCUGGCUCACGCCUGUAAUCUCAACACUUUGGGAAGCUGAGGCAGGAGGAUUGCGUGAGGCCAGUAGUUCCAGAGCAGCUUGGGCAGCAUAGCAAGACUCCGUCUCUAAAAAACAAACUGUAAAAUAUUUAAUAAAAAUAAUAGUAAUCUCUAUCUGGGCCUCAUCUAGACCUUUAGGUGAGUAAGAACCACCUAAUGUAAGAACUUGGGGUACAAAGAGAAUCUAGCUCUGGGGUAGGCAAACUGAGCCAGCCGACCUAAUACAUGGAGCCUACCACCUGUUUUUCUACAGCCCUGAGGUUCAUAUGCAGAAGGGACUUGCCUUUUCUCAGAUGAGAUGUUGGACUCGGACUUUUGAGUUAAUGCUGAAAUGAGCUAAGACUUUGGGGAACUGUUGGGAAGACAUGAUCGGUUUUGAAAUGCGAGAAGGACAUGAGAUGUGGGAGGGGCCAAGGGUGGAAUUAUAAGGUUUAGCUCUGUGUCCCCACCCAAAUUUCAUCUCGAAUUGUAAUUCCUAAUGUUGGGGAAGGGACCUGGUGGGAAGUGAUUGGAUCAUGGGGGUGGACUUCCCUCAUGCUGUUCUCCUGAUAAUGAGUGAGUUCUCAUGAGAUCUGCUUGUUUAAAGGUGUAUGGCACUUCCCCCCUUGCUCACGCUUUCUCUCUUCUGCUGCCAUGAGAAGAAAGUGCUUGCUUUCCCUUUGCUUUUCUCCCAUGAUUCAGUUUCUGAGGCCUCCCAGUCAUGCUUCCUGUUAAGUCUGUGGAACUUGGAGUCAAUUAAACCUCUUUUCUUCAUAAAUUACUCAGUCUCAGGUGGUUCUUUAUAGCAGUGUGAGAACAGACUAAUGUACUAAGCAAUAAGAAAGAUGUCCAGGCCCCAAAUGCCCCAACCUGACACCUAGCUGGCUCUUAAAGAGGGUAGCUACUGUGAAGAGGGAGAAAAAGGCCUUGGCAUCUGCAGACCCUCUUUCUUUAUGAUCCUUUAAAUAUAAAGGAUGUGUUUAUGUCUGUCUUCCUAAGUAGGAAGUUUUAUUCUUUAAACUAAAUUUGACCUACUGGCAUGUGACAAGAAUCACUGACUUGUCAUUACUGGCAUGUGACAAGAAUCACUGACUUGUCAUCUAACUGACAUCUGAAGUUCCUAACAUCCUAAGGGAUGGGGACAAGUAGGAGGAAGCUACAGAAAAACAUAUAUGUCUGAGUUUUUGUUUUAAAUGUGUGAGGUAAAAGCAAAUUGUUUCUGUUCUGCUUAAACUGUUAUUUGAAAGUAUGUUGCCCCAGGCCUAGGCAUUUGCUAAGCUCUCUCAAAUUCACAUCUUCUCUUAUUCUCUCAUUCUCUGCCUCCAGUGGUUUCUAUUUAGAGGUGGAUCAACCCAUUAGCAGUCUUGGACUCUGCUCCUUUUCUGCUUCUCAGAAACCCCUUUCAGUUUUCUACCAUUUGCAGCACACUUCAUGCAAUAAUUGGCAAAACUCUGUCAAUUUAAUUAGACUUCCUGACAAUUCCAGAACAUCUCCCCCCUUCAAAGCACUUGCUUUCCAAUAGCAACUGAAACAUAAAUCCUGAUGCUUUGACUUUCAUGUUUCUCUUGAAAUAAUAUUGUUAAUGACUUUUUGUAACCAUUGGAGGCCUUUGAAUAGAGUUUGAAUUAAAAUACUGGCAACAAAUAUCUGUGAGUCAUGUAAAAAAAGCUCAAAAUUAAAUGUUCAUUUUGCACAGAAGAACAUUUUCAUUAAUAUUUCUUUGCUUGAUGUAUCUGAUCUUGUCAUAAAGAGUUGUGCUAAGGGGAAAUUUUGUUUAUAGAAUUAUAUCAUAUUAUAUUAUGUUUAUAUCAUAUUUCCCCAUUGUUUAACACUGCAAAAAUAUAAAUAAGUGCUCCUGUUAGGAAGAAAACAAUUUGUUCUCAAAAACGUAUUUUAUAAUGUAUCAAGAUUUUUAAAAGAUCAUGUAUUGAAUAGAUUCACUCAUUUUGUAAAUAAUAAUUUCUA
ensembl:lncRNA novel transcript, antisense to VMA21